UACGUAGGGUGCGAGCGUUGUCCGGAAUUACUGGGCGUAAAGAGCUCGUAGGUGGUUUGUCGCGUUGUUCGUGAAAACUCACAGCUUAACUGUGGGCGUGCGGGCGAUACGGGCAGACUUGAGUACUGCAGGGGAGACUGGAAUUCCUGGUGUAGCGGUGAAAUGCGCAGAUAUCAGGAGGAACACCGAUGGCGAAGGCAGGUCUCUGGGCAUUAACUGACGCUGAGGAGCGAAAGCAUGGGGAGCGAACAGG
rnacentral:rRNA from 1 species